UGGCGCCUGUUGAUGAUGUCGCCGCGGUGCCCUAAGGAGGGAUUGGCCGAGGCCGGUCUCGAAGUGAUGCGAAAGAAGGAGAAGGGGCCAACUCCUGAAGAGGCAAUACAGAAACUGAAGGAGACGGAGAAGAUAUUGAUCAAGAAACAGGAAUUUCUGGAGCAGAAGAUUGAACAGGAGCUACAAACUGCGAAGAAGCAUGGGACCAAGAACAAGAGAGCUGCCCUACAGGCUUUGCGGAGGAAGAAAAGGUUGGAACAGCAGCUGGCACAAACCGACGGGACAUUAUCCACCCUGGAAUUUCAGCGUGAGGCCAUUGAGAAUGCCACCACCAAUGCAGAAGUGCUUCGUACCAUGGAGCUUGCUGCCCAAGGCUUGAAGAAGGCCUACCAGGACAUGGACAUUGACAAGGUGGAUGAACUGAUGGCUGACAUCACAGAACAACAGGAGGUGGCCCAGCAGAUCUCAGAUGCCAUUUCUCGGCCUGUGGGCUUUGGAGAUGAUGUGGAUGAGGAUGAACUGUUGGAGGAGCUAGAGGAGCUGGAGCAGGAGGAAUUGGCCCGAGAGUUGUUACACGUGGGUGACGAGGAAGAGGAGGAGCCCCCGGUCGCACUGCCCAGUGUACCCUCUACACGUCUGCCUGCAGAGCCAGCUCCCAAAGCGGAUGAAGAUGAAGCGGAACUAAAGCAGCUGGCUGAGUGGGUGUCCUGAUGAGUCUGGGGUUGUCGGCCUGACGCUGCCUUUGUUGCUCUCUUUUCCUUAAGUGCCAAAUGCUGAGCUAAAGGAACAUGACCUUGCUGACAAACAGAGCAACCAGGGUACAGCAAGUUCUGCCCCACUACUUGAACAUUUGGAGUGCAUGGAGACACACAGCAGCGAGCAUGUCCUCAGCCAGAACAGUGAAGCGUCUCCGAAGCAGGUGUUCCUCCCAUCUCGCCCAGCCCACCUUCAGAACCACAGAAGAGCUACAUUGUAAAUUACAACCUAGACUUAACUGGUGUCAAGAUGACCGGUUACAGGCUCUGGGCAGAAAUCCACCUCUCACCCUCAGCACUGUUCCCUGCUAAGGGUCCCCUGAGGAAAGAAUGUGACUCCAGCUAAUGAAACUAAAACAGAAUUAGAUUUAUUUAUUUUUGGUAUAAAAGAUUUUUAUCCCCAGA